AUGGGUUUUAAUGUCUGCCCGCCGUAGGAUUCCCGGAAUUAAUUUGUGUCUGGCUUUUGAAAUCAGGGAUGUUGUGUUGAAGAAGAUGGAUGCUCCUAAGAAGUAUUGGAAAGAAUGAAGGGCUGACAGGGGUGGUUUAUACAGCAAGACUGGUCAUGGAUGCAGAGUAGUAAAUGUGGUUGGUUGAUUGAGAUCAGAUUUUUAUUUAUUUUUUUUCCAGUGGCGACGCCCAUGUAGUUUAUUUAUUUAUUUUCCCCUUUCACUUCAAGGCAUAUAACAACAACACUGUAUUUUAUAAAUCCCUGUGAUUAUAAAUCUAGUAGGAUGUCAUUCUUGGUUUCCUCAGAGGCCAGGAGUCUAUACCCACAAGAGACAGAUGGGAGAAGUAGCCAGCAAACCUUCUAUAUUAUUGCAGAGAAUUGCAGGAACUGGUUUUGGUUUACACCGCAUGGGGAGCACAGAGUCUGCACAGAGCAUCUCCAUUUACUGCUUCCUCUGUGAGCAGCCAAGGCAGGAUUGCUGACACUCCCUCCACACAGUUCCUGGGCAGGGAAUGGUGCCCUGCAAAAGAGGCAAAUCCACGGAUUUGCAUCAACUCUUUCUGUUUUCCUGCUUUGAGGAUACAGCUUAAAAAACUUUAAAAGCACUUCAUGCAACUGUGCAAAGCUCAUGUGAAAGUCCAGGCUGGUUCAGGUCCUUUCUCCACUUCCACUCUGUGCCUUAUCCCAGUAGAAUUGCUCCAAGAACUGCAUGAAAAAGCAUCCCCUUGCUUUGUCUUGCAGGCAGCAGUGGCAGAUGAGACUUUGAGUUUCACAAGGUGUGGGUAGCAAAAAGAGAUUAUUGCUGUAGGAUGAGUCAGGUUGUGCUGCAAUGUUAGGAAGUGGUUUUUUUUCCACAGUUUAGAAGAUGAUUUUUAAAAGUAGGGGACUUAGUUUACAUUUUUUCAUGAGCUACAAGGUCAGUUGUGGAGUGAGAGCUGAAUUUAGCUUUAGAGUCAUCUCUCAGCUUUGAAGAAAGAAAAAACAACAACAGGCAUGUUUGAUUUUUGGUGCUUUGCUUCAUUUUCUUGCUGUCUUGGCCAUGGAGCUGCCUGUGGUGUUGUGGGGGCAGCCCCACAAGGUCUCUGGUCCUUCCCUCCUCUUCCUAUCAUUCACCUCCUCCCCAGCCCUACCGGAGUCAAAUAUAAACUUUCUUAAAAUGAACACAAGAUUCAUUCCACUUGACCAGGCCUGACUUCCCAGAAAAUAAACAGAGAGAGCAGAGCCAGCCAGCCCCCUCUCCUGGAGGUGCCAGCCUGCAGAGAGCGGUUGGAUAGCUGGACACAACUGGUUCCCUGCCCUGGAAAUGGACCCAAAGGAAUCAGAAACAAAGGACGCUGAUGCUGCUUUUCAUCCUUCUGCCCAAGGAGAAUAAAUGUUUGUGCAAACCCUUUUUCAUGUGGCUGCCCAGAAAUGACCCAAGUGAAGCCAAGAAGUUGAACAUUAAGCAACCUCCCCCUGGUGAUGCUGCUGAAAUGAGAGAAUGCAUCCUCUGACACUGUGUGACAUAGCCCACCUGUAAAUUUUCUUGCCUGAAGAUUUGCCACUCUACAUUAUUCCUGUAGGGAACACACAGAAGAAUGAAACCUCAGGCCAUGCCUCAGAGGGGAAAAGCUGCAGCAAUGACUGACUUAAAGGGUGGUCCGCAUCACACCAAAUGCCACUUUCUUGCCACCAGAUUUCACAGCAGAGAGGGUGUGUCCCUCUCUCAGCCUGGCAACUUCUGAUAACUGUGAUAACUCACUAAUGAUUCAGAAAUCAAGACCUCAAAUCCAAAAAUUCAAGAUUUUCCUCUCCAACCUGGCAACAGCUCCGAGGUUCAUUCACAGACCAUGCAGAGGAGAGAAAAGAGGAUGCUCUGUUUGAAGACUCUCCAAGACUCAAAUUUUGGUGAAAGGUCUUUCUGGGUCAGUGGAGAAGUGUUUCCCAACAGGGAGCAUGAGGAAGACCAGCUUAAACUGAACACUUGUAUUUUAGGAAAUAGGAUGAGGUGAGAGAGAUCCUACAAUCAGGGCUGGUCUGCAGAGUGCUGGAGAUACACAGGCCAAGGUUCAGGACACCUCAUAUUGGGCAAUUUUCUGAGGGUUUAGCACUGAUCUUCCUUUCUAUUGACAUUUGAAAUGGGCACCUUCAGGGAAGUUGUGUGUCCCACAGAAGCUCUGAUUUGAUUUUGAAGGCGCCUUUCCUCCUACUUUGUAGAAAACACUGAAACAGCAACUUAUUGAUUACCUACAUUUGAUUAAGAGUGGAUCAGGUGAGUCCAGGUGGCUUUUCCUACACAGGGACCAGCAUUCCCAUUGGCUCUUAUUUGGGGCAAGGCUCCUAAAUGCUUUUGUCACCCUGGCCUUUACUCUGUUGUAGUUUCACUUCUGACUUCUUGACUGAGAUCUCUCACAAGGGAGAGCAAUUAGUGCCCAUCACAAGGAAAAGCUUUUGCAACAUGGGAGACUGCCCACAAGAAACACAGUUGAGACCACCAACUGUUUUAUUUGUUUUUCUUCCAAUUUCUGCUGAUUGAGAAGCUCAUGAGAUACAUCUCAUUUCCCUGGAGGUCCCCAGGGAAGUAGUGGUCAGACAGUCCCUUUCCAUCCUGCUUUAGGCAAUGCUGGUGCUACAGCUAAAUUCUGCUUAAUUGAGGCCUCAUCAGUGCUACUGGCAGCUUAUUUUAGCCACCAAACUCUUAUUAUUUGCUGGUAAUUCACUACUUUUCAGAGCCUGAGUUGGACAAGCUACAUAGAGGGAAAUGGUUUAGUGUCUUGAGCUACACAUUAUAGAGAAUUAAACUAAAAAUUCCAAUAAUAGUUUGGUGCUAGAGGCUCCAUUUUGGGUGGGAGCCACUGUCCUAUUUGAAAAUAGCCUCUGUUCACUCAGUGGAAGUUCUCAGAUCUGUAUCUAUCUGCAGACCGAAAUUCAAAAGCUUGAGAUGUCUUUGCAUUUCUCUGCACUAGGUUAUCAUAAAUUAUAGAAUCAUAAAAUACCCUGAGUAGGAAGGGACACACAAGGACCAUCAAUGUCCAACUCCUGGCUCUGCACAGGACAGAAAUCCCACCCUGUGCCUGAGUGUGUUGUAUGUUGUGCCCACUGGUUGUGCCCAACCAGUUUAUAUAGGUAACAUCUAAACUGCAUCAUCCUUUUGAUAAUUUGGCCAGUAAUUUCGAUAUCCCUUCAAAUCCCUCUCCUUGCUGCUUCCUCCGGUUUGAGGGAGGCCAGUAAUUUGCUGGUGGCUGUUUAACCUCAGGAGGCCUUUUUGCCUUCCCGUCUCCUACCCCACACAGCCUGCUCUUGCCAGCAUGCUGAGCUGAGGCUCGCCUCAUUUCCUCCCCUGUAAUUCCACUCUUUACUUGGAUGAGAAAGGCACUGAAUAGAUUAAAUUUACCUCUUCCUCUGUGGCUGCACUAUCCAUGCUUCCUGUGUGUGGGAACAGAGCAAGUCACAUUGAGUUCUAGGAGUGAUUCAGGUAGAGACAGAGCCUUCACUUGCACUGGACCUUGCAUACUAAUAUCUCAAAGAAUUAAAAAAUUCUGUGUAAAUACAACAUGCCAACACUUCUAUUUUAUAAAAUUUUCUGGGCUAUAUUUAGGACUUGCCUCUGCUGAUGUUACUUGGAGUAUUUCCACCAACUUUAGUUUGGGCUGGGUUAUCUUAGAAAUAAUUUUUGAUGGUGUAAUUUAUGGUUCUUUGCUGACUUCCUUAAUUCAAGCUAUUUUCAUACAAGAUCUUUGCUUCCUAACACAGGAGGUGCAGCACAGGCCUGAUCCCUGUAACCUCACAAGCCAGAAACUGCUAAAAGAUCAUGUUCAUUACAAGUCAUAAAAUAUUUUUUUUAUUAAAAUAUCUCAAUAAUCCAGAAAAUGUGUUUUCAUGAUGAGGCUAAGGCACAGCAUUUCAUGUAAAGCAUAAAAUUAAAUAUAUGUGUGUGUAGAUUAUAAAACUGUUUGGGAAAAACAGUUCAAAGAUAACCAUCCAAUGAGUUGUCUGGCAAGAUAGCCUAUGUUUAUUCUCAUUCCAGAGAUCCCAUGUCUGAUCAAACCAGAUUUAUAACAAAACAUUCAAAAUAUAGGUUAUUUUUUGGACCAAGAGAAUAAAGUUUUCUCCUGCCAUGAUGCCUACAAAGGGAACUGGCAAUGCCAGGGAACAAGAUGUGCUGAGACUUCUGCUUAUCACAGUUGUUCUCUUUCAGAACUCUUUUAUUUCUUGUUUGUUUGUCUCUGUCUCUCUCUUGUCCUUCAUUUAGAUAUUAAGCUUCUUGGACAGAGCGUGAUUUGGCUUUCAUUGUUCCAACAGUCACAAAUUUAUUGCAGAGGAGCUCUUGAUUUGGGACCAAUUGAUGGUGAUAAUAGAU